AAUCAACGCUGGCGGCGUGCCUCAGACAUGCAAGUCGAACGAUUAAAGCUCUCUUCGGAGAGUGUAUAGAGUGGCGCACGGGUGAGUAACACGUAAGUAAUCUACCUUUGAGUGGGGAAUAACAGUCGGAAACGGCUGCUAAUACCGCAUAAUGCAGCGGCAUCGCAAGAUGACAGUUGUUAAAGGAGCAAUCCGCUUAAAGAGGAGCUUGCGGCAGAUUAGCUUGUUGGUAAGGUAACGGCUUACCAAGGCUACGAUCUGUAUCCGGUCUAAGAGGACGGUCGGACACACUGACACUGAAUAACGGGUCAGACUCCUACGGGAGGCAGCAGUCGGGAAUUUUGGGCAAUGGGCGAAAGCCUGACCCAGCAACGCCGCGUGAAGGAUGAAGUAUUUCGGUAU
rnacentral:rRNA from 1 species